rnacentral:rRNA from 1 species
GAUGAACGCUAGCUACAGGCUUAACACAUGCAAGUCGAGGGGCAGCAUGUCGGUUGCUUGCAACCGAUGAUGGCGACCGGCGCACGGGUGAGUAACGCGUAUCCAACCUACCCUUGUCCAUCGGAUAACCCGUCGAAAGGCGGCCUAACACGAUAUGCGGUUCACAGCGGGCAUCUAACGUGAACGAAAUGUGAAGGAGAAGGAUGGGGAUGCGUCUGAUUAGCUUGUUGGCGGGGUAACGGCCCACCAAGGCGACGAUCAGUAGGGGUUCUGAGAGGAAGGUCCCCCACAUUGGAACUGAGACACGGACCAGACUCCUACGGGAGGCAGCAGUGGGGAAUAUUGCACAAUGGACGAAAGUCUGAUGCAGCAACGCCGCGUGGAGGAUGACACAUUUCGGUGCGUAAACUCCUUUUAUAUGAGAAGAUAAUGACGGUAUUAUAUGAAUAAGCACCGGCUAACUCCGUGCCAGCAGCC